AAAAUAUUAUAUUCAAUUUAAAAAAAAAUAAUUCACGAAGGUUAAGAAUAAUGAGGAGAUUAACGGAAAGAUAAUAAUAAAAAUGACAAAAGAAAAAGAUACAUAAAAAAUGCAGUAAAUAUAAUUUUUUUUAUCUUUCUUAUGUAUCGCAUAUUAUUAAGUUUUUAAGAAUAAUUAUGUUAAAAUAUUGGCAUUGUACUGUAAAGUAUUUCUUUAUUAAUUACAUAAAGUAUUAUAGGGUUAAAUUUUUAAUCUAUAUUAUUUAUUGUUAAUAUUUUAUAAUUUUAAUAUACAUUAUUUUGACACACUUAAAAAAUUUAUGGGGUAAGUCAAGGUUGUUUAAGAAGGGAACCACGUGAUACCUCUAAAAUAUGGAUUGGCUUAUUUUGUAUCUAACCAAAUAAAAAUAACAAUUGAGAUAAGAUAUGAAGUUACCUUUUGAGAGAGAGCCGUUGAAUUGAUUAUAACUCAAAUCCAAUAUUUCCAAAUUUGUCAGAUUAUUUAAUUCUGAAUCAUAUGAUAAAAUAAAAAAUAUAUAUUAGAGAUGAAAUUAUA
rnacentral:misc_RNA from 1 species